AGCUCCACGAGCAUGUACGUAAGUUGUUGCAGUUAAAAAGCUCGUAGUUGGAUCUCAGGCCUGUGGCCGGCGGUCCGCCCGAUACGGGUGUGUACUGUCGUGCCCGGUCUACGUCUGGUUUCAAUCCGUAGUGCCCUUAACCGGGUGCUACGGAAUGCCAGAAAGUUUACUCUGAAAAAAUUAGAGUGCUCAAAGCAAGCCGUUGUGCUUGAAUACUGUUGCAUGGAAUAAUGGAAUAGGACCUCGGAUCUAUUUUGUUGGUUUUCGGAGUCGAGGUAAUGAUUAAGAGGGACAGACGGGGGCAUUCGUAUUGCGCCGUUAGAGGUGAAAUUCUUGGAUCGGCGCAAGACGAACAACUGCGAAAGCAUUUGCCAAGGAUGUUUUCA
rnacentral:rRNA from 1 species